rnacentral:rRNA from 1 species
AGUGAACGCUGGCGGUAGGCCUAACACAUGCAAGUCGAACGGCAGCACCGUAAGAGCUUGCUCUUACGGGUGGCGAGUGGCGGACGGGUGAGGAAUACAUCGGAAUCUACUUUUUCGUGGGGGAUAACGUAGGGAAACUUACGCUAAUACCGCAUACGACCUACGGGUGAAAGCAGGGGAUCUUCGGACCUUGCGCGAUUGAAUGAGCCGAUGUCGGAUUAGCUAGUUGGCGGGGUAAAGGCCCACCAAGGCGACGAUCCGUAGCUGGUCUGAGAGGAUGAUCAGCCACACUGGAACUGAGACACGGUCCAGACUCCUACGGGAGGCAGCAGUGGGGAAGAUUGGACAAUGGGCGCAAGCCUGAUCCAGCCAUACCGCGUGGGGGAAGAAGGCCUUCGGGUUGUAAAGACCUUUUGUUGGGAAAGAAAAGCAGCAGGUUAAUACCCCGCUGUGCUGACGGUACCCAAAGAAUAAGCACCGGCUAACUUCGUG